AGUCUCAAGCCCUUCAAGAGGCAGAUGAAGCUGUUUUCACAGAUGAACCUGUUGCUGCAGAAUAUCUUGAAGACAUCUAUACAAUUAUUAAACAACCCACUGGUGAGCUGGGAAUGGGUGUUACAAUAGACAAGUCUCGUGGGAACACCGUAGUUCAGCGUGUGUCA